GGGAGUCAGUCCCUAAUUUAAAGGUUUCCUUUUUCACUUUCUAGAUAUGUACUUUUGAGGGAUAUCUGAGGUUAGGCAACAUUACAGCACCAAAUACUGGGGUUAUUAAUCCCGUUUAGGUCUGUACUACAGAGGUCAGGUAGAAACACAUAUGUAUAUAACUUUUCUUUACCUAGAAGUGCCAUCCAUUGACCUUGAAGAAUACAAUUAAAGUUCCUGUUGCAUUUAACUGGGAGGACCCCUUGAAGGACAAUCACACUCCAUUGUUGGAACACUGUGCCAGUAAGAAGUGCAACAUCAAUGGCAGAUGAAAAUGAUGCAUGAGGUGUUCUGUGUUUACAGAUAAAACUGCUGUGGCUCAAGUACGUCCUUCCCUAUCAAAAGCUUGGUGAGCUGGUAAGAAAAUGAUCUAAAUUUUUUAAACAAUUUGUUCACUCAGCAUUCUCACCUAAGCAAGGCCAUAAAAGGGGAUACUGUAAGUUUUGUUCACACCUUAAUUUCAAAUGAUUUUUGAGUCACAAAUUAGCAAAAGUGAAUGUUUUUUCACCUUUGAAAAACCAUGUGCUGUUAAGAGAUAAGUACCCACUCUUCUGUUCUGACCUGUGAAAAGAUUAAAUGUCUUUUUCAAAACAAAAUUAUAUUGCCAGUAUUAUAACACAACUAUCUUUCAAACAAAGGGCAAAAUACUAAAGAAUAAUUGCUACUUCCUCCAGCAGCAUUUUAUCUAUUUCAAAAACUAUUGUACUAAUUAGAAAUUAUCCAAUAGUUACGAAACUCUAGACUGACACAGCAGUUGCUUAUGAAAAGGAAAUGCUUUGACUCUGAUGUAUUAGCUCAUCUAGAUACAUCACUGUAACUUUCUACGUGCUCUCUGGUGAGGCAGGCUUUCUCUUGUUCAUGACAUUUCUCUGCAAUGAAUUCUCUGUGGAGUGAAGGGCAUGAAAUGAACCAUUUCUUAUCAAGUAAGUGUAUCAAUUUACAAACCCACUCUGCAGAUCACCUUUGAGUUCAGUUGUAAUCAUAUUUUAUUUAUUAAAGCUCUUCAUUCAAGUAAGGAGUAUGUUGAAAUUUUGCCAAUAUCUUAAUAACACCCAGCA
rnacentral:lncRNA from 1 species